AGUUAGCUCAGUUGGUAGAGCGUGAGGCUGUUAACCUCAAGGUCGCAGGUUCGGUCCCUGCAUU
rnacentral:ncRNA from 12 species